rnacentral:rRNA from 1 species
UACGGAGGGGGCUAGCGUUGUUCGGAAUUACUGGGCGUAAAGCGCGCGUAGGCGGACCUGCAAGUCGGGGGUGAAAGCCCGAGGCUCAACCUCGGAACUGCCUUCGAUACUGCGGGUCUCGAGUCCGGGAGAGGUGAGUGGAAUUCCUAGUGUAGAGGUGAAAUUCGUAGAUAUCAGGAAGAACACCAAUGGCGAAAGCAGCUUUCUGGGACGGUACUGACGCUGAGACGCGAAAGCGUGGGGAGCGAACAGG